UCCGUGUUGACCACGGCAGUCUCCUACGAGUCCCCGGCGUUAUCCGCUGGCAACAUAGGACAAGGGUUGCGCUCGUUAUAGGACUUGACCAAACAUCUCACGACACGAGCUGACGACAGCCAUGCAGCACCUGUGAACGCCCCCGAAGGACACCGCAUCUCUACGGUUUUAGCGCCCAUGUCAAACCCAGGUAAGGUUCUUCGCGUUGCAUCGAAUUAAUCCGCAUGCUCCGCCGCUUGUGCGGGCCCCCGUCAAUUUCUUUGAGUUUUAACCUUGCGGCCGUACUCCCCAGGCGGAUAACUUAAUGCGUUAGCUGCGCCACCGAAAGCCCAUGGCCCCCGACAGCUAGUUAUCAUCGUUUACGGCGUGGACUAC
rnacentral:misc_RNA from 1 species